rnacentral:lncRNA from 1 species
GGGACUCGAAAUUUUCUUACUCGAUAUCGUCAAGAGCUAGAGAUCCAAAGAACAUGACAACCAACGCACCCGGAGACGACAACAACAACAACGGCGCGGAGAAGGACGCUCCACCAUCAAGCACGACAAUGACAACCACGGAAGCCCUGGAGGAGAUGCAAAACAUGAUGGCCACGUUGAUGAAGAAAAUCGACGAGCAGGAUAAGAGGAACAAAGCGAUUACGGAGAGACUCGACGCAAUGACGGCUGAAAGACGACACCCGACUUGGAGAGCCAGGAUCUCCGAUCCGACAGAUGGAGUCAGGAGACGCUUUGGUUUCUCGACACCUGCAGGAGCAUCCGGUAGCGGCAUAAGAAUCCCAUGGCUCCACCAAUGUUUUGUCCCCUCGGC